CGGAUGGAGGUGGGCGCGGAGGGCUUCGCCCGGCUCCUGCCGCGCCUCAGGCGCCGCAUCCGCCCGCGCCGCCUUCGUGGCCCUUGAUACGGAGUUUACUGGCUUGUAUUCAACUUUCCCCCAAAGCAGUGAGCCCAGCCUGUUUGAUUCCCCUGUGGAGCGGUAUCUGAAGAUCAGGCAGAGUGUUCAGCGCUUCACUGUUACUCAGCUUGGUGAGUGCUGCUCUGACACAGAAAGUGAUCUGAGGUCUUACAGGUAACCAGCCUUUAGCCAACAGGUGGGUCCUGUAGAUGGCUCUGGCCCUAAUAUACUUGUACAGAGACAUUUGUUUGGUUUUUUUUUUCGCUCUCUGAUGUUUAAUACUAUUGAAUUUUUAAUAUUUUAAAUAAUGUCAGGUGGACUGAAUACUUUUUACUUGUCUAAAGUUGAUUAUAUUUAAAGGUUGCAGUUAAAAAUAGAGGGCUUUUAAAGUGGAGGAUGCAAGCAAGAAACAUAUAAUGGCAGCUCCUAUUCAAAGCCAUAUCAUUUGAUAUAGUGCGUGAGUAAGGGGACUAUCAGAAGAAAAUGAAGGCUACUAUUUCUGAUACUCCUAAAAUAACAAAAAAAUCAACAUGAGAGUGGGCCUGUGGAGGAGGGCAUUGACAGUUAAGAACCAAGAAGAAAUCAAGAAGAAAGCUCCAAAAUCAUUUGAAAUGUUUUUCAAAGCCUUAGGGUAUGUAAGCUGUUAGUGUGCCUUUUAGGGAUUAACAGAAAAAACCCAAAACCUGAGAAGUUAAACCCAUGUUUCAGUACUCUCUGGUGCCCAUCUCCUUC
rnacentral:lncRNA from 1 species